GAUGAACGCUAGCGGCAGGCCUAAUACAUGCAAGUCGGACGGGAUUAAGCUUUCGGGCUUAUGAGAGUGGCGCACGGGUGCGUAACACGUAUGUAACCUACCUUUAUCAGGGGGAUAGCCUCUCGAAAGAGAGUAACACCGCAUAACAUCACGAUACAGCAUUGUAAUGUGAUCAAAUAUUUAUAGGAUAAAGAUGGGCAUGCGGGACAUUAGCUAGUUGGCGGGGUAACGGCCCACCAAGGCGACGAUGUCUAGGGGAUCUGAGAGGAAGACCCCCCACAACGGUACUGAGACAAGGGCCAGACGCCCACGGGAAGCAGCAGUAAAGAAUAUUGGGCAAUGGGCGCCGGCCUGAACCCGCCAUGGCGGGUGCAGGAAGGCGGCCCUACGGGUUGUAAACUGCUUUUGUACCGGAAAAAACCUUGAUAAGGAUAUCAAGCUGAAUGUACGGUAAGAAUAAGGAUCGGCUAACUCCGUGCCAGCAGCCGCGGUAACAC
rnacentral:rRNA from 1 species